UCCAUCUGCAGUAUGGAUUCUAUAGACUCUCACUCAGUUUAAAAUUUGUUUCUGGACCUGAAUGACAGGAGAAUGGCUUUAUGAAAUUUUCUCAUAAGACAUUUAAGUAGUCUUAGGUUCACAACCCUUUUGUUGUAAAUGAUUUAAUCUGACAUGCCAUAUAACUACAAUACAAAUAAUUAUGUUCAAUUCUUAAAUGAAAACUAAAUGCCAAUAAAUGGUAACAGAUUUGACAUGGAAUGUUCUAAGAUCUUCCUCUACAUAAUCUGCCAUGGCAGAUUAUGAAUUUCAGAGCUUGAAAACUUCAGAUUAAGAACCACAAGAAAAUUUACUCUUGAUGGCAUACAAGAUCUUCCUAAAAAUUAACCUAAGACCUAGAAGUCUCAGUAUUAUUAGAACAUAAAGAAACGCAACAAAUCUGUAUAUUUUAUUCACAUAUAUUUUUGUUUUUAGUGUGCUCACAGAAAAUUAGAACACCUUAAGUAGGAGUUUAAUAGCAAUUUUUGUAAGCAAAGUUACAUUCCAUCUCUAAGUCAAAUUGGUCGACGCUUCUCCAGCAUUUACAAAACAUGAUAGACAAGAUGCUACACAAAACCAUUGCAUCUGAAGAUUUUUUUUUUCCUUUAUUCUCAAAGAUGACUGGAAAAGAAAGCAUUAUCUGCUGUAAUCAAAAACAUACCACAGUAUAAACAGUAACCAUUCCGCUUAUCACAGCUUGGUUGAGUUUAAAAUUUGUGUUUAAAAGGUCCAAGAUGACUGCAGUUUUACAAAAAUGGGCAGGGUGGAAAGUCGCAAACUUCAUGUGCUUCUGGAUAUCAAGAUUUGUUUUUAUACAAUAGUCACAGUUAAAAACACCCUGCUGGUAAUACAUAAUUACACUUUAUUAAGGUCAUAAACCAGCAAUAAACAAUACAGCCUAUAUAACUUGUAGUUCUACUUAAUCACUGACUGGUACACCUAACAUGAGAUAAGUGAAAAGUUCCUAUGGUUUAAAUGAACUCCUAAGACUAUGAUCAUUUUUUUUUUUUUAAAUAUGGGUAUUGGUGUUUUUUCUUUUUUCCUCUUUCCUUCUUAGUCAAGACUUGUAGUGUUGUAAACCUGCCUCACAAAAUACAUGGUAAUAACUUUUCUUAAAAAAAAAGACAGCCUUUACACCAUUUCUAGUGGCACAUUAUUUUGGCAAUGUUAUGUACCACUUCCAUUUCCCCAUUGUGACCCCUAUCACUUCAUUUGAUAUCCCUUUUUGACCCACCCAUCUCUUUCAUAUAUGGGCAUAUCCAUAGAUUGACAAAGGAAGUUUACAUUUUUGGAUAAAGAUGGAGAGUAUGCAAAAACAUUAAUACUGAUGCAAAAAAAUAAAAAAAUAGAAACAAGGCAGAGGAAGAAGGUGUUUAAGCUCUCCUCGACCUGUUGGAAUGGUGGUUAACAGAAUGAUUUGAGAUGGGAUCUGUGGGGAGGGGAGAAAAAAAACAAAAUU
rnacentral:lncRNA from 1 species